AGGGGUAUAGCUUAGUGGUAGAGCACAUGCUUAGCAUAAAGCAUAGGGUCCUGGGUUCAAUCCCCAGUACCUCCA
rnacentral:tRNA from 1 species